rnacentral:rRNA from 1 species
GACGAACGCUUGCGGCGUGCUUAACACAUGCAAGUCGAACGGAAAGGCCCUGCUUUUGUGGGGUGCUCGAGUGGCGAACGGGUGAGUAACACGUGAGUAACCUGCCCUUGACUUUGGGAUAACUUCAGGAAACUGGGGCUAAUACCGGAUAGGAGCUCCUGCUGCAUGGUGGGGGUUGGAAAGUUUCGGCGGUUGGGGAUGGACUCGCGGCUUAUCAGCUUGUUGGUGGGGUAGUGGCUUACCAAGGCUUUGACGGGUAGCCGGCCUGAGAGGGUGACCGGCCACAUUGGGACUGAGAUACGGCCCAGACUCCUACGGGAGGCAGCAGUGGGGAAUAUUGCACAAUGGGCGGAAGCCUGAUGCAGCAACGCCGCGUGCGGGAUGACGGCCUUCGGGUUGUAAACCGCUUUCGCCUGUGACGAAGCGUGAGUGACGGUAAUGGGUAAAGAAGCACCGGCUAACUACGUGCCAGCAGCCGCGGUGAUACGUAGGGUGCGAGCGUUGUCCGGAUUUAUUGGGCGUAAAGGGCUCGUAGGUGGUUGAUCGCGUCGGAAGUGUAGUCUUGGGGCUUAACCCUGAGCGUGCUUUCGAUACGGGUUGACUUGAGGAAGGUAGGGGAGAAUGGAAUUCCUGGUGGAGCGGUGGAAUGCGCAGAUAUCAGGAGGAACACCAGUGGCGAAGGCGGUUCUCUGGGCCUUUCCUGACGCUGAGGAGCGAAAGCGUGGGGAGCGAACAGGCUUAGAUACCCUGGUAGUCCACGCUGUAAACGGUGGGUACUAGGUGUGGGGUCCAUUCCACGGGUUCCGUGCCGUAGCUAACGCUUUAAGUACCCCGCCUGGGGAGUACGGCCGCAAGGCUAAAACUCAAAGGAAUUGACGGGGCCCCGCACAAGCGGCGGAGCAUGCGGAUUAAUUCGAUGCAACGCGUAGAACCUUACCUGGGUUUGACAUGGAUCGGGAGUGCUCAGAGAUGGGUGUGCCUCUUUUGGGGUCGGUUCACAGGUGGUGCAUGGCUGUCGUCAGCUCGUGUCGUGAGAUGUUGGGUUAAGUCCCGCAACGAGCGCAACCCUUGUUCACUGUUGCCAGCACGUUAUGGUGGGGACUCAGUGGAGACCGCCGGGGUCAACUCGGAGGAAGGUGGGGAUGACGUCAAGUCAUCAUGCCCCUUAUGUCCAGGGCUUCACGCAUGCUACAAUGGCUGGUACAGAGAGUGGCGAGCCUGUGAGGGUGAGCGAAUCUCGGAAAGCCGGUCUCAGUUCGGAUUGGGGUCUGCAACUCGACCUCAUGAAGUCGGAGUCGCUAGUAAUCGCAGAUCAGCAACGCUGCGGUGAAUACGUUCCCGGG